rnacentral:rRNA from 1 species
GCGUGGCUUCCGGAGCUAACGCGUUAAAUCGACCGCCUGGGGAGUACGGCCGCAAGGUUAAAACUCAAAUGAAUUGACGGGGGCCCGCACAAGCGGUGGAGCAUGUGGUUUAAUUCGAUGCAACGCGAAGAACCUUACCUGGUCUUGACAUCCACAGAACUUAGCAGAGAUGCUUUGGUGCCUUCGGGAACUGUGAGACAGGUGCUGCAUGGCUGUCGUCAGCUCGUGUUGUGAAAUGUUGGGUUAAGUCCCGCAACGAGCGCAACCCUUAUCCUUUGUUGCCAGCGGUCCGGCCGGGAACUCAAAGGAGACUGCCAGUGAUAAACUGGAGGAAGG